rnacentral:lncRNA from 1 species
UUGCCCAAGGUCACACAACUGGGAGUGAAAGCCCUUGAAUUCACAUCUUGUCACUGUCACUGCCUGUCCAAAUGGUCACAAAUUGAGGCUAUCUGGCUGGUAAGAAGUCCCUUUAUCCUGCUAUAAUUUUCUUGGUGGCUCUGUGUCAUUAUGCUGAACUCAGUUUCCCCUCAAGCAGGUGAAACUGCAGAUGGCAUAGGGCACAUAGCUGCAGACCUUGCUCAGACUGGACUCUGAAAGAUUUGGAACCUUAGGCAGAGAGGUGGAAAGGAGUUGGGGAGGCAGUGGCAAUGAUUUGAAAACUAUAACCAAUUUUCUCUCUCCUAGGAGUUGGAGACUUGGAAUCCCCUUUGGUGCAGAAACUAUUCCUUCAUGAGAAGAAGUCCUUAAAUAGGCUCUUUAGACAGGAGGCCACAUGUUGAAGGCAGCAGGGUCACAAGAUGGAAGAACCAGGGUCCCAGUAUCAUCGCUCCCUGCUUCAAGCUGCCAGGGGCAGCCUAACCCACAUGGCAUUAUGACAUAAGAAACAAAGUAACUAUUGUUUUAUUAAAUCAAUGAGAUAUUGGGCUUCUUGUUAUAGCAACUAGUAUAAAUUGCCCUGACUGAUACAUUAUGGAUUUAGAGUGCACUGUACUACAACUGUUUGUUGUAUUUUCAAAAUUGUGGUAUAACUGACUUACAAUAAACUUCAUAUAUUUAAAGAG